UUACAAUAAUUUCAGGUUCUAUUUUUUAGAAACUGUAUAUUAUAGUUUCUUUUUUAAAAAAAAAUAUAUAUAUAUUCUUUAUAAUUUUAUUUAAUCUCAGUCUGCCAAUUUGGUUCCUCUUUGUAUUUUAUAUAUAAGAUAAAGUUUAAUGCAUUUUAUUCAUGUAUAUUUUAUUAGUUUCUAUGUAAAAUAAUAAUAAUAAUAAUAAUAAUAGGA
rnacentral:lncRNA from 1 species